rnacentral:lncRNA from 1 species
CCCAUGUCUCUACUGUAGCUUCCAGGCCGUUUCCCCGGGGAUCCAAUGUGUUUCCUGUUGUCCCCAAUCUUUUAAAUUUUUUUCCAUUAUUAGGGUUAGUGCCAGCAGCCAGGGUGGAACUGUAAUUCGUGAAGAUUGCGUCGGCUUGCUUUGAAAGAAUGGUAUCUGUACGCGUCCCUUAACCACUCGAGGGGCACCAUCAGGCUUGUGGGUCAUGCUGGGAAGUGGCCCGGCUGCCUGUGACAGUUUCUCAGCCAGGCAGGGACUCUUUUCCACACGAUGACAUUGGAACUGAAUGCCACACUCCUCCUUGGAAGAAAAAAUUGUGUAUAGGACAAGGACUCAGGAUAUGGGUGUGGAAGAAUCUCUGUGGUACGAGCCCAGCCUGGAAGAACUCUUAGGCUGCGUGGACGCUGCCCAGCCACGGUGACGGAGCUGUUCCAAUGCCUGCUUCCCGAGACAGGCCCAUGAAAUCAUGCAGGCUUGAGCCCGGCUUCUAAAAGGAGCACACCACUGGCCAGGGUGGCUGGUGGAAACCAGCCCUGGCCAAGGGAGCCCCGGCCAGGCUGUCAGGUAGGCAGCAGGCGGCAGGGGGGUUAAUGUGGGGAGCGGGCAGGGGUGGGGUGGAAAGCCAGCUGGGGAAAUGGGGGCUGCAGGGCCCAGCCCGACCAGGCACAGACACAGGGGGCUCUGUCUGCUUGCCCGCUGCCCUGGCACUGUGACUAACCGCCCCACUAUUGUGAGUCUGAAGUCAGCCCUUUGUGUCGUCCCCUGGCGUCUGGGAGCACAGCCGAAGAACCCUUUCCAGCAGCCCCCCUCAUUCUGGAACCUGCAGCCCCAACAUCCAUUCUUUCAGCUCUCAGGGUUGCUGGGGGCCGAUGAGCCAGUGGAAGUAUCCCUUUCCCCGGCCAGGAAGGGCCACCAGCAAAAAAGAAGCAGAAAACCAGUCUCCCCUACUCUGGGUGGGGAAGUGGGGGGUACAGGGGCCUACUAAACCUACGUGCCCGCCAUGGUAGCUCCUCCUCACAGGCAGCAAAUGAGCCACUGAAAUGCGGAGAGGCCAAAUCGAAUAUGGAAAAAAUGGCAAAAUAUCCUGUUCACAGUUUCAUACAAGCAACACACUGAAAUAGGAUUUUGGAAAUUUCUAUUAGAUUAAAAUGAAUUUUAGUACUAAAGUGAA